rnacentral:lncRNA from 1 species
UUAAAAUUAGCUAAAAUUUGGUAUGGAGCAGGUUAGUAAGUAAAGCAGGAAUGCAGAGUUGCUUAGGCCGGUAUGGAGCAGGUUAGUAAGUAAAGCAGGAAUGCAGAGUUGUUAUGGUUGGUAUGGAGCGGGUUAGUAAGUAAAGCAGGAAUGCAGAGUUGUUCAGGUUGUGUGAUGCUUUUGUGUAAUACCUCUUUAAUUGGAACUCAACUGCAGAAUUUUCUGAGGGCAGGAACAGUAAGUUUCACCUCCUAUUAUAUUGGAGUGAAAUCAGUGGACUGUAUCUUUAAAUAAUAAUCAGGAAAAUGCCAAGUUAGUUCCAACUUGAAUUUUAAUAAUGAAGUUUUAGCCUUAGCAGCAAUCCUUAUUUGUCAACAGAGAGUUUAAAGAAAUUAAAUACUAUAAUUAAUUGAUAUGACUUGCUUUCCUUGACAAAAGAUUUACUUAACUUAGAAGCACUCUGGCACUGGAAGGGUUAAUUCACCCAAUGGAGGAAGAGGAAGGAGUCUCUUUUAACAAACUGCAGUUUAGUAGUGAGAGAAAGGAAGUCCGUUUGUCCAAGCCGAGGUCUGAGAGAGGAGAAGGUAGAAAUCCGUUUACAAGCCGAGGUCUGGGAGAGGAGAAGGUAGAAUUCCGUUUAUAAGCCGAGGUCUGAGAGAUGAGAAGGUAGAAUUCCGUUUACAAGCCAAGGUCUGAGAGAGGAGAAGGUAGAAAUCCGUUUACAAGCCGAGGUCUGAGAGAUGAGAAGGUAGAAUUCCGUUUAUAAGCCGAGGUCUGAGAGAUGAUAAGGUAGAAAUCCGUUUACAAGCCGUGGUCUGAGAAGUGGAGCCGGUAGCAUCGAGUAGAGCAGCUGAUCUCACUGCCGCACCUGAGUGAAUAAUCCAGCACUUUGAAUCUGGCGCGGUCUUCCUAAGUAUCGUGGAAAGACCGCGUCAGAAAAAAGGGGCGGAGCUAAGUGCCGUGAACCCGGAAGUGGGUUCCGGCGGCAGCAUGAUUGUUAGGUAUACCUGACAGUACCCCCUUCUCAUGGGGCAUCCUCUGGGUGCACUUAUUUCGGUUUAAAGGGGUAGCGUUUGUGAAAAGCAUCAACUAAUCUCUUAGCAUGAACAUUAGAUGAAUCUUCCCAGGUAUCUUCAUCUGAUAAGGUAUUGUAAAGAGCCACGGUGGAUACAAGAAUCCAAAAUCUUAUGAAUUUCAUAUUCUUCUUCACCUUGGACGAUGAUAGGUUCAGGAGUUGUUACUAUUUCUCUAUGGAAAGGAUCAGGGAUGUGUGGUUUAAGCAAAGAGACAUGGAAUACUGGAUGAAGUUUAAAACUUGGAGGAAGUUUUAAUUUAACAACGUUAUCAUUGAUGAUUGUAGUUAUUUGAAAAGGACCAAGAAAAAGAGAGCUCAAUUUCUUUGAAGGACGGUUUGUGGUAAUAUUUUUUGAAGAGAGCCAGACAAGAUCCCCCACUUUAUAAGGAGGGGGAAUUCUUCUAUUAUGGUCAAAAAACUUUUUCUGGUAGUUUUGGGCGAGUUGAAGAUUCUCCCGUAAUUUAAGGAAUAGAGAAGACAUAAAUUCAUUUUUUGAAGUAACCGUGGGAUUGGAUGAAGAAUUAGAUGGGAUGGGAAAUGAGGACGGAUGAAAACCAUAGUUGGAGAAAAAAGGAGUCAUUUUCGUACUAGAAUGAAUGGUAUUAUUGUAAGAAAAUUCAGCCAUAGGUAACAAAGUGGUCCAGUCAUCUUGCAGGUAUGAACAAUAACAUCGGAGAUAUUGUUCCAAACAUUGAUUAACUCUCUCUGUUUGCCCAUUAGUUUGGGGAUGAUAGGCAGAAGAGAGUUUGCGUUGAAUUUGAAGAGAGAGACACAUCUCUUUCCAGAAUUUGGAGGUAAAUUGUGUCCCCCUAUCAGAAAUAAUUUCUUCUGGAAGACCAUGAAGCUUUACAAUAUUAUCAAUAAAGACUUUGGACAAUUCUACGGAGGAGGGUAAUUUUUUUUUAAAGAGAUGAAAUGGGACAUUUUAGUGAAGCGGUCCACAACAACAAGAAUAGUGGUGAACUGUCGGGAUGGAGGAAGGUCAACAAGAAAAUCCAUAGAAAUGGAUUGCCAAGGUUUUUCUGGAAUAGGUAAGUUAAGUAGUAAUCCAAAAGGUUGGUUAUGUUCAGAUUUGGACCUUUGACAGAUAGGACAAGUUUUGACAUAUAAUUCAAUUGUUCUAUCUUGGCGAGGCCACCAAUAAUAUCGUGAAGUUAGUUCAAGAGUUUUCUUUAUUCCAGGAUGUCCAGCUAGGGGUGAAUCAUGAACCAUUUUGAGUAAUUUGUUCCUAAGAAUGGGAGGAAUAUAAAUUCAAUUUUUAAAGUAAAAUAUACCAUCCUUUUUUGUUAAAUUAGGUGUUUUGGGAAGUUCAAAAUCCUUUUGAUUCAAGUUCCUUAAGUCAUCCUGAAGAGAAGAGAGGAUCCCUAUUAUUUUGUUAGGAGGAUAAACAUCAAUAGAAGUUUUAGAAGGAAUUCGAGAAAGAGCGUCAGCCUUUUUAUUUCUAGUUCCAGGUCUGUAUAUUAAUUGGAAGUUAAACCGGUUAAAAAAUAGGUUCCAUCUAACUUGUCUAGCCGUAAGGGUUUUAUUAGUAUAGAGAUAUUCAAGAUUUUUAUGGUCUGUAUAGACUAUGAUAGGUUGAUUUGUAUCUUCUAAUAGAUGGCGCCAAUUUUCAAAGGCAGCUUUAACACUUAAUAAUUCCUUUUCACCAAUAGGAUAAUUUUUUUCAGCAGAGCUCAAGGAUCUUGAAAAGAAUGCGACUGGAUGAAGUGGAUCUUGAGGAGUCUUUUGCUGAGAAAGAACUGCUCCGAUAGCUGAAUCUGAUGCAUCGACUUCUAGGACAUACAAGAAUGUUGGAUUAGGUAGCUGUAGAAUAGGUGCAGUUGUAAAUCAUUUUUUUAAACUGUCGAAGGCAGCUUGUGCAUCUUUAUUCCAUUUGAAAGGACGUUUAGUACUGUUAAGGAGGUUAAGUGGAUGUGAUACCUCUGAAUAGUUUCUAAUGAAUUUUCUAUAGAAGUUUGCAAAUCCAAGAAAUCGUUGCAAUUCUUUUGUAGUAGUAGGAACGGGCCAGUUAAUAAUACAUUCGAUUUUAGAGUUAUCCAUUUUCAGAGAAUGAGGUGAAAUAAUGUAUCCAAGAAAGGAGAGUUCAGUAACUUCAAAAAGACAUUUCUCUGGUUUAGCGUAUAAUUUGUGAGUUCUCAAUCUAGAUAGAACACAUCUUACAUGCUUCCUAUGUUCAUCCAAAUUGUUAGAAUAUAUUAGAAUAUCAUCUAAGUAGAUAAUAACACAAACAUCUAAAAGAUCUCUAAAGAUAUCAUUUAUAAAAUGUUGGAAUGUUGCAGGGGCAUUACAAAGCCCAAAAGGCAUCACUAGAUAUUCGUAGAGACCAUAUCUAGUCCGGAAGGCGGUCUUCUAUUCAUCAUCCUGUUUUAUUCUAAUGAGGUUAUAUGCGCCUCGGAGGUCGAGUUUAGUGAAUAUAGUUGCAGUUCUUAACCUUUCAAUUAAUUCAUUUAUUAGUGGAAGAGGAUAACGAUUUUUUAUGGUUAUUUUAUUUAAGGCUCUGUAAUCUAUAAUGGGUCGGAUGGUUUGGUCCUUAUUCCUCACAAAAAAUAUACUAGAGGCAGCCGGUGAAGUCGAGGGUCUGAUGAAUCCUUUACGUAAAUUUUCAUUAAGAUAUUCUUUUAAGGUCUGUAAUUCCUUUUCAGAAAGUGGAUAAAUGUGUCCAUAAGGAAUGGGAGCACCAGGUAUUAGAUCUAUUGGGCAAUCAUAUGCUCGAUGAGGUGGAAGUGUUUCCGCUUCUUUUUUACAAAAGACAUCUGAAAAGUCAGAGUAGAAUGGAGGUAUAAUUGAUUCCUGAGUAGUUUGGAGAAUAGGAAUAUGUUGGUUCCAUUGAAAUUGGCUGGAUUAUUCUGUGAUGCUUUUGUGUAAUACCUCUUUAAUUGGAACUCAACUGCAGAAUUUUCUGAGGGCAGGAACAGUAAGUUUCACCUCCUAUUAUAUUGGAGUGAAUUCAGUGGACUGUAUCUUUAAAUAAUAAUCAGGAAAAUGCCAAGUUAUUUCCAACUUGAAUUUUAAUAAUGAAGUUUUAGCCUUAGCAGCAAUCCUUAUUUGUCAACAGAGAGUUUAAAGAAAUUAAAUACUAUAAUUAAUUGAUAUGACUUGCUUUCCUUGGCAAAAGAUUUACUUAACUUAGAAGCACUCUGGCACUGGAAGGGUUAAUUCACCCAAUGGAGGAAGAGGAAGGAGUCUCUUUUAACAAACUGCAGAUUUAGUAGUGAGAGAAAGGAAGUCCGUUUGUCCAAGCCGAGGUCUGAGAGAGGAGAAGGUAGAAAUCCAUUUACAAGCCGAGGUCUGGGAGAGGAGAAGGUAGAAUUCCGUUUAUAAGCCGAGGUCUGAGAGAUGAUAAGGUAGAAAUCCGUUUACAAGCCGAGGUCUGGGAGAGGAGAAGGUAGAAUUCCGUUUAUAAGCCGAGGUCUGAGAGAUGAUAAGGUAGAAAUCCGUUUAUAAGCCGAGGUCUGAGAGAUGAUAAGGUAGAAAUCCGUUUACAAGCCGUGGUCUGAGAAGUGGAGCCGGUAGCAUCGAGUAGAGCAGCUGAUCUCACUGCCGCACCUGAGUGAAUAAUCCAGCACUUUGAAUCUGGCGCGGUCUUCCUAAGUAUCGUGGAAAGACCGCGUCAGAAAAAAGGGGCGUAGCUAAGCGCCGUGAACCCGGAAGUGGGUUCCGGCGGCAGCAUGAAUGUUAGGUAUACCUGACAGGUUGGUAUGGAGCGGGUUAGUAAGUAAAGCAGGAAUGCAGAGUUGUUCAGGCCGGUAUGGAGCAGGUUAGUAAGUAAAGCAGGAAUGCAGAGUUGUUAUGGUUGGUAUGGAGCAGGUUAGUAAGUAAAGCAGGAAUGCAGAGUUGUUCAGGCUGGUAUGGAGCAGGUUAGUAAGUAAAGCAGGAAUGCAGAGUUGUUAUGGUCGGUAUGGAGCGGGUUAGUAAGUAAAGCAGGAAUGCAGAG